UACGUAGGGGGCAAGCGUUGUCCGGAUUUAUUGGGCGUAAAGGGCGCGUAGGCGGUUGGAUAAGUCAGCUGUGAAAACCACGGGCUUAACUCGUGGCCUGCAGUUGAGACUGUCUGGCUUGAGUGUGGGAGAGGAGAGUGGAAUUCCUGGUGUAGCGGUGAAAUGCGUAGAUAUCAGGAGGAACACCGGUGGCGAAGGCGGCUCUCUGGACCACAACUGACGCUGAGGCGCGAAAGCUAGGGGAGCAAACAGG
rnacentral:rRNA from 1 species